AUAUUUACCUGGCAGGGGAGAUCACGCUGUCGUGAAGGCGGUGCUCCCAGGCGAGGCUUAUCUGUUGCACGACAGCUAUGCUGACCUUCGCGGUUUACCCAACUGCAUCGUUUGUGGUGGGGCACGGUGUUCACACUUAA
rnacentral:snRNA from 1 species